CCUACGGGAGGCAGCAGUGAGGAAUAUUGGUCAAUGGCCGGAAGGCUGAACCAGCCAUGCCGCGUGAAGGUCAGUGCCCUAUGGGCGUUAAACUUCUUUUGUGCGGGAGCAAUAAUGGUCACGUGUGGCCAGACGAGAGUACCGUACGAAUAAGCAUCGGCUAACUCCGUGCCAGCAGCCGCGGUAAUACGGGGGAUGCAAGCGUUAUCCGGAUUUAUUGGGUUCAAAGGGUGCGUAGGCUGUGAGGUAAGUCAGCGGUGAAAUGCCCCCGCUCAACGGGGUGAAGUGCCAUUGAUACUGCCGUGCUGGAAUGCGGAGGCCGUGGGAGGAAGGUGUGGUGUAGCGGUGAAAUACAUAGAUAUCACACAGAACACCGAUUGCGAAGGCAUCUCACGAAUCCGCGAUUGACGCUGAUGCACGAAAGCGUGGGUAUCAAACAGGAUUAGAUACCCCAGUAGUC
rnacentral:rRNA from 1 species